AGUUGACACAAGGUUGGAUAACAGGGCUAAACCAGCAAGUUGCAUAAAGUUUACUUUGUGGACAGCCAAACACAACAUGAGUGAGCCCACAUGGUUUAUUCUCAGCCCUCAACUACUCAUGAAGUCUGGAAAAAUACUGGCCAUACCAUAAUAAGAAGAGUGAGGGUCCGGAUGGGAUUCAGGAGCAAGACGGGAAAGUGAGGUUCCAGGCCCCAGAUGAAUCCAGAGCAAAAAAGGAAGAAAGGUGACUUUCAUGUAAUCCAAUAUAUGUCUGGUGUUAUUAUUGGUAAUGGUAAUAUUCUUAAGAAAUUAUUAAAUUACACAACAUGACAGGGUUUCUCAUAGUGCUGCCGCAUUAAAAUGUGCAACAUGACUGUCAGAAAACCUUCUAGGAGUUGGGUUUUUUUUGGCUUUAAGUGAAAGUGAUGAAAUGAGACAGAGAUCGUAAAUUUUGCUGUUGAGUGUGUGUAAUGUUGUCUAAAAGUUGUGCAUAAUGUUGCUUGUUUCAUUAAGUGCUGUUAAAUUUGUGCAGAAUGUGGUUGGAUGUGCUUAAUGCUAUUUAGGGUGAGCAUACUGCUGUUUUAGCUGUGUGUAAUGCUGUUGUAGCACCUUAUCAAGAUAAAAAAAGAAAAAACACACACACUUGCACUGUUGUUAUAUACAGUGUUUAUAAUUUUGUUGUAAUGUUUAUCUCCAUGUAAAGCACUUUACAGCAAUUUACCUUGGCUAUGAGUGUACAUUUGAAUGUUAGUGAUCAGGGCCUCCCCUGCCUCACACCUCUGGAUACAGGCACCCCUUUGACCAUUUGGUAUGACUGUGAAUCAUCCUGUCAAAUUGAAUUAACAUUGGACAAUCAGUGGGUGUCCUGGUAGCCUAGCCUGGUGUCCUGGUCCAGACGUAUCACGUAACUGCAACGUUUUUGGUUUGAUUCCACCUGUUAUUUCCUGUUUUAUUUUGUAAUAUUCUCCCUCCCUCUUGUGUCUGUUAGUGUUGCUUCCUGUCGUUGAUUGCUUCGAGUGUUUUCACCUGUGUCUCGUUGUCUCCCCUGCCUGAGUGUAUUAAGUCUGUGUCCUUCCUUUGUUCAGUAUCAGAUUGUCAUUGUACCCUGUGUCGAGCAUCCUGGCAUUUGAUUCCUGUGUUUCUUGGACUAGUUCUGUUUCUUUUGGACCUCGCUGGAUUUUGGAUUUGUUGCCUGUGUUCUGGAUUCCCUUUUCUGAGUUUGAUCUCUGCCUGUAAUCCAUGUAAGCCCUUGUGCAUCCAUUAAAUCCCAGAACUGCAUUUCUCUGCCUCCAUUGUCUGCAUUUUGGGUCCUACUCCUGUCUUCCUGGUUCCCCCUGCUCGACAAACUGCAACAC